GAUAAACGCUGGCGGCGUGCUUAACACAUGCCAGUCGAACGAAGUUUUUCUUUCGGGAGGAACUUAGUGGCGGACGGGUGAGUAACGCGUGGGUAACCUGCCCUGUACAGGGGGACAACAGCUGGAAACGGCUGCUAAUACCGCAUAAGCCCUUAGCACUGCAUGGUGCAUAGGGAAAAGGAGCAAUCCGGUACAGGAUGGACCCGCGUCUGAUUAGCCAGUUGGCAGGGUAACGGCCUACCAAAGCGACGAUCAGUAGCCGAUCUGAGAGGAUGUACGGCCACAUUGGGACUGAGACACGGCCCAGACUCCUACGGGAGGCAGCAGUGGGGAAUAUUGCACAAUGGAGGAAACUCUGAUGCAGCGACGCCGCGUGAGUGAAGAAGUAUUUCGGUAUGUAAAGCUCUAUCAGCAGGAAAGAAAAUGACGGUACCUGACUAAGAAGCACCGGCUAAAUACGUG
rnacentral:rRNA from 1 species